rnacentral:lncRNA from 1 species
AAAUGAUGAUGCUACGCAUGCUCCAAGUGUAGAUAAUGAUGAUGCUACUGAGAUUGAUAUGUGAAUCAUUAAAUCUAAAUAUUGAGGUAAUUCUGCAUACUCAUUCUGUAUAUCAUAUUUGUUUACAUGUAGAUAUGCAUAUCAGAUCUGCAUACUCAUUCUUUAUUGUCAUGUUUCAUGUUCAUAUCAUGUUCAUAUCAGAUCUGCAUACUAGCUCAUUCUGCAUAUCAGAUUUGUUCUUUACAUGUAGAUCUGCAUGUCCUUCUCUUUAUGGCUGACAUAUCAUAUUUCAUGUCAGGCAAUCAGUUGUUCCACAAAAGACUGAAGGCAGCAAGACUGAAGGGGUUGUUCUGUUUGUUGCCAUGCUUUGCCUCUGUUAUUUGUUACUGCUGCUGGGGGUCGUUGAUGGGAAUGUUGUUGCGGUUUCUGCUGGUUAUUACUAUUCUUCAACUGGUUGGUUCUGCUUCUGCUGAGUUUGUUGUUUGUUGGGCUGUGCUUGCUGAUGCUAAUGUCUUGCUGCUAAUUCUAUUUUUGUGGCUGCUGGUUAUGUUGCUUCUAGCCCUAUUUUGAGGGUGCUGAUUCUAGUUAGGCCUAUACGGCUGUUUAGAUAGUUUCCGUCUCAUAGAUAGUUUCUUCUAGUUUGCAAUUUGGUCUUGUAAUCUUUUAUAGUUAUGAUGUCAUAUUAUGUUUAUACUAUAUUAUGAUUGGAGUUUCCAUAGUUCAAGGUGCAUGUAGUAGUUCCAUAGUUCUAUCUGAAUGAUAUGCUGUCUUUACAUUCUUAAAGAAGUUGUAA